AUUCUUCAGCCCCGGGAGAGCAUCAGAGCUCACAGACAAGUUAUCCCAACUAAGGAGCCGUCACCUCCUCCUCCAUCCAGUGGUCCUCUGUUGGUAUCAGGACUAGAAGCUCCAAAGGAUAGCAAGCAAGCCAUGCUGGAAAAAGAUAAUCUGUUGUCCCCUUUUGUCAGGCUGAAGAGACUGGACAUCCCACAGGAAGAGGAGCCUUCCCCACACCAAAAAAGCCCCGAAGAGCUGCAGGACCCGAAUGUCGAAUGGGAAGUGGUGAAAGACCAGCGAGCCCGGCUGCGGGUCCUGGAGACCAGACCGCAGAGCGCAGAAGAGAGGACAGCGGUGGAACAGGAGGC